rnacentral:rRNA from 1 species
AUUGAACCCUGGCGGCAGGCCUAACACAUGCAAGUCGAACGAGUGGCGGACGGGUGCGUAAUGUCUGUGAAACUGCCCGAUGGAGGGGGAUAACUACUGGAAACGGUAGCUAAUACCGCAUACCAUCGGAUGUGCCCAGAUGGGAUUAGCUAGUAGGUGGGGUAAUGGCUCACCAAGGCGAAGAUCCCUAGCUGGUCUGAGAGGAUGACUAGCAACACAGGAACAGAGACACGGUCCAGACUCAUACGGGAGGCAGCAGUGGGAAAUAUUGAACAAUGGGCGCAAGCCUGAUGCAGCCAUGCCGCGUGUAUGAAGAAGGCCUGCGGGUUGUAAAGUACUUUCAGCGAGGAGGCGUUACUCGCAGAAGAAGCACCGGCUAACUCCGUACCAGCAGCCGCGGUAAUAC